UCAAACCAGUUCCUGUGCGGAUUUCGG
rnacentral:sRNA from 1 species